rnacentral:rRNA from 1 species
UACGUAGGGUCCGAGCGUUGUCCGGAUUUAUUGGGCGUAAAGAGCUCGUAGGUGGUUCGGUAAGUCGGAUGUGAAAUCUCCAGGCUCAACCUGGAGGGGUCAUUCGAUACUGCCGUGACUAGAGUUCGGUAGGGGAGUGUGGAAUUCCUGGUGGAGCGGUGAAAUGCGCAGAUAUCUGGAGGAAUACCGGUGGCGAAGGCGGCAUCCUGGACCGACAUUGACGCUGAGGAGCGAAAGCUAGGGGAGCAAACGGG